CCUACGGGAGGCAGCAGUGAGGAAUAUUGGUCAAUGGGCUCGAGCCUGAACCAGCCAAGUCGCGUGAAGGAUGACUGCCCUACGGGUUGUAAACUUCUUUUAUCAAGGAAUAAAGUGAGGCACGUGUGCCUUUUUUUAUGUACUUUAUGAAUAAGGCUCGGCUAACUCCGUGCCAGCAGCCGCGGUAAUACGGAGGAACCGAGCGUUAUCCGGAUUUAUUGGGUUUAAAAGGAGCGUAGAUGGGUUGUUAAGUCAGUUGUGAAAGUUUGCGGCUCAACCGUAAAAUUGCAAUUGAUACUGGCAGCCUUGAGUACAGUUGAGGUAGGCGGAAUGCGUGGUGUAGCGGUGAAAUGCUUAGAUAUCACGAAGAACUCCGAUUGCGAAGGCAGCCUACUAGACUGCCACUGACAUUGAUGCUCGAAAGUGUGGGUAUCAAACAGGAUUAGAUACCCGUGUAGUC
rnacentral:rRNA from 1 species